rnacentral:rRNA from 1 species
AAAAGCUUUAUUUUCAAUAAAAGUUUAUAUAGAAGUAAAAAUUAGCUGGGGUAGCUGCUUUGUAAAGAUCAAGGUAAUUGUAAACUAAAAGUUUUAGGGGCCUUAAUAUUAGGAUAGUUAGGGUGAGUUACUU